rnacentral:lncRNA from 1 species
GCUGGGGGUGGGGUGGGGGUGGUUGGAGAAGGGGCCCAGGGCUGGGGUAGCGACCUGCUGAGGAGGGGGAGGAGAGGCGGGAAGGGGCGGAGGAGGAAAGGGGGAGGCGGGGGCCAGAGACGGGUCUCCGGUCCCAGCUCUCAUCCCCCUUCCCUCCUUCCCAACCUCCCAGACCCUCAGGCGGGGGCGAGAGUCAGGCCAAGGUGGGGAGGAAGGGGAAGGGAGGAGGCUGCCCCCGCCCCCCCCACACAACCUGGCCCAGAGCCCAGGCCUGGGUUCCCAGCAUGCCCCGGGGCUGCCUGGGGCCUGAGGUGGGGGUGAGAGGAGAGGGGAAGCUGAGAAUCUUCAAGAUUUGCAGGACCUGAGCAUCUCCCCACUCCCCCAACAAAUUUCUCCUUGGGGAAACUGAGGCCCAGAGAGAAGGGUCAGGACUUGUUCAAGGGUUCACAAAUCCCUCGGCACCUAAGACUCAGCUACUGCAGUUCCCACAAAUCCCUGAGACUCUGGAUCCACCAUUCCCAGCAGCCCCCGUGGCUCAAGAUCCGCUAUUCCCAUCAGCCCCUGAGACUCAGGAUCCGCCAUUCCUGUCAGCCCUGGAGACACAAGGGCCACCAUUCCCAUCAGACAUUGGCACACAAGUACUGCUUGCAAUUCCCAUACCCCUAAGAUACAGGGACCACCAUUUCUAUCCAUGCCUGAGACACAAGUUCCACCAUUCUUAUACCCUGGAACAACAUGCCAAUGGAAAACAGAAGCAUUCUGCCCUUUACCAGGCCGUCCCCAGGUUCCUAGGACUGUUAACCAGGAAGACACUUCCGCCUGCCCUUGGGUAGGUCUGAGUCACCUGUCAAUGCUGUAGACAAGGAGGCACCAGCUCAUGAAGAACAUCAAAGCAGAGAAUCUUCCACGUGAGGGAUCAGCCUGAAACCCGAGAUAAUCCUACAGCACCACCAGAGAAUCCUUCCAGGAACAGAAUUGUAUUGUAUGCAGCAAGGCAAUGAAGAGCACAGACUCUGAAGCCAGAUUGCCCAGGAGAGAGAGAUUUGAAGAUACAGAGGAGACCCACAGGGAGGAAGGCCAUGUGACAACGGAGGCAGAGACUGGAGUGAUGCGUCUCCAAGCCGAGGACUGCUGGACCAUCAGAAGCUGGAAGAGGGGAGGAAGGAGCCUUCAGAAGGAGCUGAUACCUUCAUUUCUGACUUCUGGCCUCCACAACUGGGAGAGAAUCGAUUUCUGUUGUUUCAAGCCACCCAGUUUAUGAUAAUUUGUUAUGGAAGUCCUAGGAAAGCAAUACAGGAUCUAUGUUAACCUAUGUGUCUUUCCAUUCUUUACUUCACACAUACACACACAUGAGUUUACACAUAUUUAAUUUGCAUUAAAAUUCAGCUUCAGGGGCUGCCCCCGUGGCACAGUGGCUAAGUUCGUGCACUCCUCUUCUGCAGCCCAGGGUUCAUAGGUUCAGAUCCUGGGCGUGGACCUAGC